UACAUGGGGUGCAAACGUUGCUCGGAAUUACUGGGCGUAAAGCGCACGUAGGCGGAUUGUUAAGUCGGGGGUGAAAUCCUGGAGCUCAACUCCAGAACUGCCUUCGAUACUGGCGAUCUCGAGUCCGGGAGAGGUGAGUGGAACUGCGAGUGUAGAGGUGAAAUUCGUAGAUAUUCGCAAGAACACCAGUGGCGAAGGCGGCUCACUGGCCCGGUACUGACGCUGAGGUGCGAAAGCGUGGGGAGCAAACAGGG
rnacentral:rRNA from 1 species